CAAAUACUUCCUCCGUCCCAAAAUUCUUGUCUUAGAUUUCUUAAAAUACGAAUGUAUCUAACACUAGGUAAAUUUGUAUUUAGACAAAUCUAAGACAAGGAUUUUCAGACGGAGGGAGUACUUA
rnacentral:pre_miRNA from 1 species